GUUAAAAAAAAAAAAAAGUUAAAAAAAAACUGAGAAAAAAAAAGAAACCAACAACUCUCAAGUACAGAUCAGGUAGAUUUUUUUUUUUUAAUGCGAAACUUUUGCAAACAAUCGAGAGUCAACGUCCAAUAGAAAAAGGUAUCUUGCUUGAAUUCCUUUAAAAAGAAAAUGCAAGUCUUUCCAAAAGUGGAAAUAUUAACACACGAUGGGCAGGGGGAACCCUAACUUUGGGGAGUAAGAAAAAGUUUUCUUGGAGCGACGAGAUGGGGGGAAAAAAAGAGGCGAGUGGCUAUUAGGCAGGAAUAAAUUUAAGAGGAAACGGAGUUCAGUGUGUCAGUUUCGGGUGCGGAGUGGCGGAUCUGAACUCGGCUCCUCCGGCCAAAAGGGAAGAGAUGAAAAGGUCCCGGGGCUGGCAGCUGGCGAGCUGGCGGGAGGGGCGCCGGGAGCGCUGUGCGGGGGGCCGCCGAGGCUGGCCGGGCGGUAAUUUAGGUAUUUAAAGAAGGAGCGGUUCGGCCCUGCCUUCCACUGCGGCGCUGAGAGCGGGAGCAGCCGCGGCUCCGGAGCGGAGAGCGCACACGUGUGUGAGUGUGUGAGUGUGUGAGUGUGUGAGCGGGUGUGUGAGCGCGCGCGCGCGUGUGCGCGCUCUGGGGGCGAGCCCGGCGCGCCGCGGGGAGGCGGGUGCGCUCCGCACGGCGCUCGGGACUCGGUCGGGUCCUGCGCGGGCCGCGGCGGCGGCGGCGGCAGAGGCGGCGACGAUCCUGCUCCCGGAGCUGCUGCGCGCGGUGGCCAACACCCCGGCCGGCGCGCGCCAACCCGCCCGGCUACUCCACGUCGUGCCGCCGCUAGCAGACGCGUCCAGCCUCCACCUCCCUCCUUCUCCUGCUCCUCCUUCUGCUCUCGCUCCAGACGCCAACCCGGCAACAGACGACCGGCUGCCGCCGUUGCCUUCAGCCCCGGGGACGCGCUACCUAGGGAGUGUUAUUCCUGAGGGGGCUGCGAGGGGGUCCCUUGGACUCCCACCCUUUCCCACCCUUUCCUGGUUUCUCUCCCACUCGGAUUUCUCGCGGCGAGUAGAUCAGAGAGGCAGAGGGUGCGGCCGUUUCAACCACUAG
rnacentral:lncRNA from 1 species